ensembl:lncRNA
AUGCACCCGAUACCACGCUUACAGAGCUGUUUGUUACCAGAAGAUACGGAUGAAAAUGCUGAAGUUAGAACACCCAGCUAUGAAAAAACACUCAAAAAACAGGAACACGCCUCGAUCAAGAGAAGAGGAAGAUCUCUGGAGAUGAGUAAAAGCCCAGUGCGUCCUCUCUGUCGAGGACUAUCUGAACCUGCAUCAGAGAGCAAACAGGAUGAGGUCACCGUUAUCAUGACGACAGAUACACAGGAUGCAGGUGAGGAUGGAGUCAGAGUUGCCGACACAGAAGAGGAGUCAUCACCCUCCCCAAGAAAAAGAAGGAAAGAAACAUGCUCAGACAUUGAAAACGGCAAUAAGUCCCCAAACCAUGCUGAAGCUCCAGACGUCCCAUCUGAGGGAGAGACAGAAACAAUGGACAAAAUGCAUGAAGGAUCAGAGACAAACACCAGCACAUCACCAGCAGCUGAUCCGGUGGCUCAGGAGGACAGUAUUCAGCCAGAGGCCACGGUACUUGAGGGCUCCGUUGAGCCCCAGACGUCUCAGGGGCCACAGAUGGCCAAAGAUCAGCUUAGGAUUCCCCCUCACCCUCUCUCACCACACACCUCCACAACCAUGGCUCAGACGGUGGUCGUCACUCCUCUCAGCCGGCCGGGAUUUCAGCCUGUGUCGCCAUUGUUGGCAGACGGGUCGGACCGCACGGCUCUUGCUCAGAGACUCGCUCAGCUGGAGCGGGAAGCCAAGAGGCUAAAAAGAAUUCUGGGCAUCCGUGAGCUGGAGGUUGCCAUGGUGACGGAGGCAGAAGGGGGCGGGCCUUCUGAUGUCACCACGGGUGAUUCAGUGUCAUGUGAGCAAAAUGCGGAAAGAUUGAACCCAAUGUCAGUUGAAUCUAGGAGGGAGGAGCUUUCUGUUUGUCAGAAAUCAGAUGAACUGGCAAACCGGCCACCAUCCAGUUCAUCCCCCAUCCAGCAGGAGGCAGAAACGAGUCCGAGAGACGAGCUGUACUGGAGUAAGACAUUAGCCAAACUCCAGAGUGAGAACCAGACGCUGCUAACUGAUCUGAACGAGCUGAGAACAGAGAGAGACCACCUGCUGAACCGAGUGAGACAGACAGAGAGAGACCGGAGAGACCAGAGCACCAACACACCCAACCACACUUACAAUAGCAGUGUGACACUGGAGAGGUUGCGGUCUAUCCGUCAGAAUGUGGUUGCAUUAUUGUCGUCCAUCCUGCCGAGCCUGGAUAUGCAGGGAAUCAGCUACGACACGACUGAUGUAGACAGCAUCCUACAGCAGAUCAUACAGGCCAACAACCUGUGA